AAGCUUCUAGAAGGGAGGGGAAGGUUUUUUCACAGUUAUUCUAGAUUCACUUUGACCUGCCCACGAUCUUGUAAACUACGGUUUUCAUCUAUAACCAGUUCGUCUCGAUAAUCAUUCAUAACAGUAAUCACAAUCGGUUGUCCAUCUAAAUCGUCACUUUCAACAUCGAAUCACCAUCUGUUCAACGAAAAAAUGGUGUUGAAACAUAGCGCGUAUCUUUAUCAGGAGUGGCAAAUGCUUCCCAUGACGCUAAAGAAAUUGAAAAACCCUAUGUUUACAGAGAACGACAACAAAAGUCUCAGAUGUGGCCUGACCUUAUAAAAAAAAGCUAAGGAUGGAGGUUUAGAUGUCAUACAAACUUAUGUAUUUUGGAAUGGGCAUGAACCAUCUCCUGGGAAGUACAAUUUUGAGGGGAUAUAUGAUUUGGUGAAGUUCAUAAAACUGGUACAACAAGCAGGACCAGGGGCGGACUUAUAUGGGCUCUAAGGGUAGCCCGUGCUACCCCUCAACUUCGACUCGUGGAAAGCUAGGUUUCUAUUACAAAGAUCAUGAAAUUCUUCCGCCCCUCCCCAGAUUAACGAUCAAUACACCAGGGGAUUUGGCAAUCAUUCUUGGCACCAGUGAUACUGUAAGUUUAAGUGGAUCGGGUAAUGGGUAAAAAGAAGUAAUUUGACCAAAGUUAUAUUGUAAAAAAAAAAAAAAAAACUGACCUGACCCGACCGGAACCGAAACCGUGCUGACCCGGAUCCGUUCCGACCCGGACCCGUUUCGAUCCAAACGAAAUCAACCCUUUUUUAUGAUUGACCCGAACCUGUCUUGACCCGACCGAACCAAUAGGUUAGGAUACUUCUAGAAAGAGCUUAUGCUACAUCAAAGCUUUGGGAUGAUGCAACUCUUGUUCUAUGUGGAUAUUUUAAUUCAACCCAAAGGUAUCUUAUAUUUUAGGUACCUUAAACUUCAAUCGUACUUUAUAUCUCAAAUUCUCAAUAGCUGUUUCUUUCUUUCUUAUGCUGCAGAGUUCACUGUACAACUUCAUAUCCGAGCAAAAGUUAAACAUGUCUGAACUGCCUAGAGAUAAGAUAUCAGGACAAUAUUCUGCUGAAAUUUAUCCCAAAAGACUGGUUUUCUCUAAUUUCAGAAGCAAGUCCAUUGAUAAUGCUACCCAAUCUCCCACAUCAGUUGAUAAUGCUACCCAAUCUCCCACAGCAGUCCUAGAGGUGAAACCCUUGAUGUGAAAAACUCAAUCAUAGGGACCAAUUAGAAUGGUGAUGAGAGACAAGUCAAGGAGCCACCAACUUCACAAGCCAAGCACAACAUGAUUGUCGCCAGCUGCAACCAUUCUCCAAAUUGGAAAAGUUGGGAGUUUAUCACAUCAGGUGGAGAGAAAUUGACACCUAGAAGUGUGCAAUUCAUGUUGAUUAUGAAACAUAUUGUUGAAUGGACCUGUGUCAAUUGUAAGCAGUUGAUUUUGUUUAUAUUCAGAGUUUUUUUUUUCAUGUUACUAUGGCAAAGUAGCCGUCCACCGGAUGAACUGGUACUUUUAUUGGUUGUUUGUA
rnacentral:lncRNA from 1 species